rnacentral:lncRNA from 1 species
GUCGGUCUCUGCUGUAAAUGCCGUGGUGCUGGUGGCCGUUGGGGAGGAGGCUGUGUUGGUGUGUGAGGCAUCUGGGGUUCCCCGGCCCCGAGUCAUCUGGUAUCGAGGGGGUCUUGAAAUGAUCCUGGCCCCUGAGGGCUCCAGCUCUGGGAAGCUGCGGAUCCCGGCGGCUCAGGAGAGGGAUGCUGGCACCUACACCUGCCGGGCUGUCAAUGAGUUGGGUGACGCCUCUGCAGAAAUCCAGCUGGCGGUUGGACAUGCGCCCCAGCUGACAGAGCUGCCCCGGGAUGUCACUGUGGAGCUGGGGAGGAGUGCCCUCUUGGCAUGCGGGA